rnacentral:rRNA from 1 species
AUUGGCCUACGGGACGCAGCAGUGAGGAAUAUUGGUCAAUGGCCGGAAGGCUGAACCAGCCAAGCCGCGUGAAGGACGAAGGUGCCAAGCAUUGUAAACUUCUUUUGUCAAGGGACAAAAUCAGGCUCGAGAGCCUGACCGAGGGUACUUGAAGAAAAAGCAUCGGCUAACUCCGUGCCAGCAGCCGCGGUAAUACGGAGGAUGCGAGCGUUAUCCGGAUUUAUUGGGUUUAAAGGGUGCGUAGGCGGACUGUUAAGUCAGCGGUAAAAGCCCGGGGCUCAACCUCGCUCCGCCGUUGAAACUGG